ensembl:lncRNA
AUGAGAAUGAGGCUGCGUCACCCAAUGCCAGUAGAUUCCACUGAGUCUUGAAGGGAGGGACACAGACACAGCCACAGCCACAAGAGAAUACUUCUGAGCAUCCUUCUCCUUCAAGGUCUGCUAUCCUUCCCAAACCACAGGAACCGGAAUCAGACCUUCUAUAACACAGUGCCACAGAGCAAACACGAACAAGGACAGGAAGUGACAUCAAUGGAGCAGAACGACAAGGGCACAUUGGAAACUGAGAAACAGCAAAUGAAUGGUCAAACAGAAGAAGCACCUCAAGAGACGACCACACCUGAAGAGCCGGCUAAUGUAAGUGAGAAUAAUUCAGAUAAAAAUGAUCAAGAAAUGCAUGAGAGCAAUGCAGAAAAGAAUGAAGAAGAAAUAAGUGUGAAUAAUGGAGAUCAGAAUGAAGAGGAAAAUGUGAAGGAAGAAGAGGAAGAAGAGGAUGAAUUGGCUGAUGGUUUCCAGACUUCGGUCGAGAUGUCAAUCCGGCAAUUUGAGAAGGAUGAAAAUAACCGCCCUAUUUGCAGGUACAACACUGUCAGCUACAGGAAGAUUAAGAAAGGAAACACAAAGCAGAGAAUAGAUGAGUUUGAGUCCAUGCUGGAUGUAUAACAGUGAUGAAUGUCGUCAGAGACACAUACUGUACGUAAGAACUGAGUGGCGUCAUCAUGUAUGUUUUGUAUGUGGAUCCUUCAAAAGUAUGUGACUGUUAAACUUCUUUAUAUAGUUAAAAGGUUUAACACACAAUGGCAUGAACAGUAUUUUGUCACAGCCUAAUUUUGGCCUGUAUCACAUUUUUAAAGAAAUCAGUAGUUGUAGAAAUAAUAUUUUGUAGAAAUCUUUAAAGCAUUCAGAAAACAGGUUUUAAAUAACCCAUCAUCUGGCAGCGAGCCGAAAAAACAACAACAUUUAUUUGUCUACAAAUGAGAUUUUUCAUUCAUGAAUGCUCCUUCAAAUAACACACAGUCUGUCUGACUAAUGCAGGCCUGAUCUCUACUGUGCUGCCAAAUCACCAUUAAUGAAUUACUGGAAGAACUUACAGUUACAGUAAGCAUACAGUAUGAAGGGCAUUAUUGUAUUCCUGUUCAAAAAUUGUAUUGUAAUGUAAAGCUACCAGCUUUCUAAUGUUGAUUAUGAUUAUGGUUACAUGGCUUUGUAAAACAUGCUCACAAGUUUUAAAAUACAACAACAAUAGUCAGCAGUUUUUCAUUUCCAUUUUCAGAUUUGUAUAUGUAAUACAUGCAUAUAGGGAUACUGUGAUUAUAUCUUUGGACAAUUAGAAGUUUUCAUUGUUUUCUAUAAUGACAUAAUGCUACUUGAUAUCUGCCACACUAAACUGAAUUCAUGUAACCUGUUCAAGUUGUUAAGGCUUCCUUUUUCUCUGAAUGCACAAUUUUUUUCUUUAUUUUCAUUUAUUGAGGACGAAUAAAA